rnacentral:rRNA from 1 species
UACGUAGGGUGCGAGCGUUGUCCGGAAUUAUUGGGCGUAAAGAGCUUGUAGGCGGUUUGUCGCGUCUGCUGUGAAAAUCCGGGGCUCAACCCCGGACUUGCAGUGGGUACGGGCAGACUGGAGUGUGGUAGGGGAGACUGGAAUUCCUGGUGUAGCGGUGGAAUGCGCAGAUAUCAGGAGGAACGCCGAUGGCGAAGGCAGGUCUCUGGGCCACUACUGACGCUGAGAAGCGAAAGCAUGGGGAGCGAACAGG